rnacentral:rRNA from 1 species
CCGGAGUGGACGCAUCACUGGUGUUCGGGUUGUCAUGCCAAUGGCACUGCCCGGUAGCUAAAUGCGGAAGAGAUAAGUGCUGAAAGCAUCUAAGCACGAAACUUGCCCCGAGAUGAGUUCUCCCUGAGACUAUAAGUCUCCUGAAGGAACGUUGAAGACGACGACGUUGAUAGGCCGGGUGUGUAAGCGCAGCGAUGCGUUGAGCUAACCGGUACUAAUGAACCGUGAGGCUUAACCUUACAACGCCGAAG